CUUUCGCCGGGCAGGUCCCGCGGGAGGCCGCCUCCGGGCUCCUCCGCGCGCCGGUGUCCCCCUGCCACCAGUCGCCCCGGCCCACGCUGGCGGAGCCCAACCCAGCCGGUCCAGGCGCCCGCAUCAAGUUCCGUCCUGAGGCCCCGCGGCGCCCUCCGCGGGCCGAUGUCCGGGCCGGCUGGUCCUCGGGUCACCCGGGGUCCGCGCCUCGGCCCCGCCCCGCCGCGCGCUGGUGCUCCGAGGCCGCUGGCUCGGUGCCCGGCCUUCCUCGAGCCCCUUCGGGGCAGGAUCCUGCUAAAUUGUUGAGGCUGGCCUCAAACUUGGAAUCCUCCUUCCUCAGCCUCCUGUGUCACUGGAAUUAAAGUGCUCAUCACCACACCCAGCAAAGGAGUCAUUUUUCCGUUGUUUUUGUCUCUACAAGGCAAAUAAAUUUGAAAUGACCAAUCUAAAUAAACUAAGAUCUUUUUUCUUGCCAGGUGUGGUGGUGCAUGCCUGUGAUCCCAGCUACUCAGGAGGCUGAGUCAGGAGCAGGAGGAUUGAAGGUUCCAGGUCAGCCUGGGCGGUUUAGCAAGACCCUGUCAAAACAACAAGAAGUGCGGCGGGGUGAAGCUCAGGCAGUGUGCUCCAGGGUUCCAUCCCCGGUGCCCAGAGGCCGUGGGGUGAGGCACUGACUGCUGGCUGAUUUUUUUUUCUGGACUCUUAUGAUUGACUGGUGAGCAACUAUGGACUGGUAAGUGCUUUCUUGGCUUAAUUGCCACUUUGCAAGAGAUGGGUUUUUCCUUUCUCUUGCUGGACAACUGUUCCAAACGCAAGAGAAAAAAACGUCGAUAUCUGGCGGAUGGAGGUGGGGGAGGGAAGCAGGGAUUUUCUCUCUUCCCUCAGGCCUCGGGCCUCAGGUUCAUUGCCAGAGCUCCGGGUGGUGGUAGGUGAGGGCUACUCUUUCUGUUCUUGAAACUCCAAGUUCACGUUGGCAAAGCUGCUUUGUUCUACCCCAACCUGUUAUCCAACCCUGAUAUAAAACCAACGUCUCCACAUUUCUCAAGACGACCCAAAGUGGUCAGGAGCACGAAGGUGACUGAUGCUGGGGCAGCACUGAGGCAAGAGGAUGGUGAUCCGGGCCGGCCUGGGCACCUUGGCCAGAGUGCUUGCCAAGCAGGUGUGAGGCCCUGGAAUAGCCAGCAGCACACUUAGUAAAAAUGGCACACUUUUGUCAACAGUAUAGAGGUCACACCUAUGAUGGUUUUUUAUUCACGUACAAAGAGACAAUAUCAUGUAAAAUUCCAAACAGAAGUGCACUUGAGCAGGGUGACACAUUCCACGUGACUCCGAAGACCGAGGUUCAAUCCAAGGUUAAUUAGGUGAGAACUAUUUGGAAUGGCAACGUUAUGAGUUGUAUAUUCCUAGCAUGCGCACCGAGUGACUCAUAUCUAAGUAAUACUGCCCCCUGAGAUAGUCCCCAUAAAGUAGAACACGUCUUUCUUUUACUUCAUCCAGUGCUUUCUCUAGGAAUUUCGUGGUGCUUUAAUACUGUCCAUAGCACAUUCUAGAAAGCCAGGCAGAGGAAGCUUUCAUUAAUCAGCACCCGGUUUCUUUUUUUCAUACCACGAAACGGCCAUACCGUGGGCGGAACCACGUAACGCAAACUGCCUGCGAAGCUGGGGCAGUCGGCGGAGACGCGACCCAGGCUGGCCCGGCACCAGAAACCAGCGGCAGGUGCGCUGCGCGGCCCGCCACACUCAAGAUGGAGCGCGCGGCUCCCAGGCGCUCAGGGCUGGCCCGCCGCCUCCUCCCGCCCCGCCUGUCUCUGAUUGGAGGACACGGCCCACCGGCUUUGUUGUCUGCGCGGCUAUUGGCCAGCCGUCCGAUCAGUCGCGGCACCACCCCCGCUCCUCGGAACAAGUAAACAAACAAGCCUCUCGGCCCGGCGCCGGCGGCCUCGGCGAGCUCUGCCUGCCAGGUCGUUUGUGCUGCCGCGUCCGGAACCGGGCGGGCCGGGGGCAACGCUGUUUCGGUGGAAGAAGUGCUACUUUCGGCGACUUUCCAGGCAACUGAAGGAUGAGCCCCGCCCACAUUCUGCUGUUUUGCUGACGUUUUCAGUCCCGUGAACCGAGUUCCCUCCCUGUUGCAGAGUCACGGUGUUGGGACAAAAGGACUCCUGCGUCUCCUUUCCCAAGAACGCACCCGCCUGGUUCCUCGUCAAGGGGGCGCAGGCUCGCUCAGUGCCUCGGGGCUGGGGAGAGAGCUCGGCGCGGUCCAGGCCGGCCGCGGUCACCCUCCGAGUGGGACCUCCUAGUGGGCCCUGCACUGCGAGGUCAGCACCCUCCGAGUGGGACCUCCCAGUGGCAGCUCCUGGCACGUCUCUGGGGAGGCUGCGGCUGCCGGUCUUCCCCCUCCAACCCUGUGCUCCCCGCCUGUUCCUCACGCCUACUUCCUAUGCACUAUUACUACUUACACCCUUCCUUUCAAACAGUCCACUUUUUACGGUAUUAACUUUGCCACAAGCAGUCAUAAUGUUGUGGAGUUAUGAAUUUGAUGUGCUGCUUAGCACUUUCACCUCUGUGUAGCAGAUAUCAAACCUAAACAGAAGGUUUGCAUCCCGCACGUCACCGGCAACCCUGCCGGUUCCCCCGACGCCUGUCAUCGCUGUGUCAUGCGUGCCCCGAAUUGUGGCCAGCCUGGUGUUCCAGGAGAAUGCCUUCUGGCCGGUCACUCUCUGGCUAGACCUCCCCCAUUCACCUCUGGCCUAUCUGUCCCUUCCUGGCUGUGUCCAGACCACUGCCUCGCAGACCCUCUUGUCUUGCUGUGAAUACUCACUUAGCCAUGGACAACUAGUUGCCCUUUCUUUCUAGAACAAGUAUUCCUCUGGUUAACUUCAGUUCUUCCUUUAAUUGAGAAAAAAAUAAUAAAAACUUUUUUUUUUU